CCUUUUGUGAGCAUCUUUGAAAAUAUUUGAUAACAUUUUACAAUUUUCAUUUAUUCUUUCAGGAGUAUUUUUGGAGACAUACCAUUGUUUUACAUUUUUUAUAGAUUCUUUUACAAAGGCAUUUUGAAGACAUUUUACAAUUAUCUUGAAUUAAAAUAUAUUGUGGUAUAGAUUUGUAGGCUUAACAGUUUACUUUUAACGUGUGUUUUGAAAUUAUUUUACAUCCAGUUCGACUAUAUUUUACAGCCUUCAUCUAUAUUUUUAUAAAUGUUUUAUAAUUCUUUUAUUUCUGGGAUAUUUUAAAUUUUUAUUACGUGACAGUUUUUAGAGGAAUAUUUACUAUAUUUUGGUUAUAUUUGACAGUGUGUGGAGGAUAUAAUUUUGCUGUAUUUUACAGGACGUUUAUAAUAAAUGUUCACCAAAUUUGUCACAGUUCUUUUACGAUAUUCUAUAUUCUAAGGUUUGUGCCUAUCUUCUUAGAAUAUUUUCAAGCCGAGAUAAGAUUUACACGAAAUCAUAUAUUUGUUGUAGUGCCUGUUGAGAAAUAAAUAAAUGAACAAAGAAAUAAAGUGACAAAAAUUCAGGGAUUAAGAACCCAUGUAAUAGCUGGAUGACAAAAUGGUUUGGGCAAUACAGCGCACUGAUAACCUCAUUGAUAAUGUCUAUUGCGGUGGCGGCAGCAAUAAUAGUAAACUGUGGAUGUUGUGGUAUGCCAUGUAUCAGAUCUUUGUGUAACAGGUAUAUCGUGAAGACGGUGGAGGGAAAGGAUCCUCCACCGUAUCAGAUGCCACUGCUAGGAGGAGGAUGAACCAGUGGUUGAUCUCCUGUAAAGGAGAUCAAAAGGGGGAAUGAAGGAAAAUGAGAACAUUUCCCACAUCAGUAUAUCCUUUCAUUAUUAAUAAUUGCAUUGCUUCUAAUAUUAUAAAGCAGUUAUGAGUAUUAAUAUUUAGCAGUUUAUCACAUAGUAUUGAAAUUAGUUAUGUUUAUGAUAUGUCUUAUUUGUUGUGCAUGAUCAAAGCUUAUAUAUGAAUCCAUUGCAUUUGACUCUAAAAGGUCAUGUCUGCAGAUUUUGGAGGCUUGCAGUUGUGUGUGGUAUGUAUGUAUGUGUGUUUUUUAACUUUUACUUUGCAGAGCCACCUGGGGAAACGAGAAACAGGAUGUCGGGGCGACAGGGUGAACUAAAGGUCAUAGUUGUAUAUAGCAGCAUGAACUUCUUAGACAGAAGUAAAACUUUCCAUCGAACGGGCCCCCACCCAACUACACAUAUAUAUUUUUGGGUCAGAGGGAGAGGCAGAUCAGAUCAACCGCUCCUCGGGGGACCUGAUUCUGCAUUGGUGUUGUGUAAAGAUAGGGACAGUUUUGACCCAGA